rnacentral:rRNA from 1 species
UACGUAGGGGGCAAGCGUUGUCCGGAUUUAUUGGGCGUAAAGAGCGUGUAGGCGGCCGCACAGGCCCGUUGUGAAAACUGGAGGCUUAACCUUCAGACGUCGAUGGAAACCGUGCGGCUAGAGUCCGGAAGAGGAGAAUGGAAUUCCUGGUGUAGCGGUGAAAUGCGCAGAUAUCAGGAAGAACACCCGUGGCUAAGGCGGUUCUCUAGUACGGUACUGACGCUGAGACGCGAAAGCGUGGGGAGCGAACAGG